CGUUCCAUAGUGUAGCUGCUCAUCACCCAGACUCUGAAGGGCCCCAUCGGGGUGAUAGAAAUCUGGCGACCCGAGUUCAAAUCUCGGUGGGACGU